rnacentral:rRNA from 1 species
GCAAGCGUUAAUCGGAAUUACUGGGCGUAAAGCGUGCGCAGGCGGUUGUGUAAGACAGAUGUGAAAUCCCCGGGCUCAACCUGGGAACUGCAUUUGUGACUGCACAGCUGGAGUGCGGCAGAGGGGGAUGGAAUUCCGCGUGUAGCAGUGAAAUGCGUAGAUAUCUGGAGGAACACCGGUGGCGAAGGCGGCAUCCUGGACCAAUUCUGACGCUGAGGAGCGAAAGCCAGGGGAGCAAACGGG